rnacentral:lncRNA from 1 species
CUCGUAUUUUCUUCCUACCUGGUGCGCCAAUCUAUUGCGGCCAAUCCUCUAUUGUGUCCGUCGCCGGUGAAGAGCACCUACAAAAUAAAGUCCGCACUGAUUGAAAUUGUGUCCGGCGGAGAUUUUUCGAUAAAUGUUUAGAGAGGUAGAUUAUCAGCUCAAAAGAGUGUCUUACCAAAUGCUGUUCAUUUACUUUUUUUUAUAGACGAGUUGUUGGUAACCAUUUGUAACGGUUAGACAUGUGGAUCCCGCUUAUUUCAGUAUUAUGUGAUUGUGGGAUGGGUAGUUAUACCCACCACUGAUCAUGUUCUAGCUAUUAUGCACUUUCUGCGCUGGUAGUUUCUGGUAUGCCGACUCUAUGUCGGUUGUCUGAAUAUGUCGACUAUAUGUCGGUAAUUGUGAAAGUCCGAAUGACUAUCGGUCGGCAAUUCUGAUAUGCCGAUGAUCAUCGGUACGAAGUCAGUUGAGUCGUCAU